UUGAACCUAGCGGCGAAUGGGUGAGUAACACGUGCUUAAUCUACCCUUUAGAUUGGAAUACCCAAUGGAAACAUUGGCUAAUGCCGGAUACGCAUGGAAUCGCAUGAUUCCGUUGUGAAAGGAGCCUUUAAAGCUCCGCUAGAGGAUGAGGGUGCGGAACAUUAGUUAGUUGGUAGGGUAAUGGCCUACCAAGACUAUGAUGUUUAGCCGGGUCGAGAGACUGAACGGCCACAUUGGGACUGAGAUACGGCCCAAACUCCUACGGGAGGCAGCAGUAGGGAAUAUUCCACAAUGAGCGAAAGCUUGAUGGAGCGACACAGCGUGCACGAUGAAGGUCUUCGGAUUGUAAAGUGCUGUUAUAGGGAAAGAACACCUGGUUGAGGAAAUGCUUCCAGGCUGACGGUACCCUGUCAGAAAGCGAUGGCUAACUAUGUGCCAGCAGCCGCGGUAAUACAUAGGUCGCAAGCGUUAUCCGGAAUUAUUGGGCGUAAAGCGUUCGUAGGCUGUUUAUUAAGUCUGGAGUCAAAUCCCAGGGCUCAACCCUGGCUCGCUUUGGAUACUGGUAAACUAGAGUUAGAUAGAGGUAAGCGGAAUUCCAUGUGAAGCGGUGAAAUGCGUAGAUAUAUGGAAGAACACCAAAGGCGAAGGCAGCUUACUGGGUCUAUACUGACGCUGAGGGACGAAAGCGUGGGGAGCAAACAGGAUUAGAUACCCUGGUAGUCCACGCCGUAAACGAUGAUCAUUAGUCGGUGGAGAGUUCACUGACGCAGCUAACGCAUUAAAUGAUCCGCCUGAGUAGUAUGCUCGCAAGAGUGAAACUUAAAGGAAUUGACGGGGACCCGCACAAGCGGUGGAGCAUGUGGUUUAAUUUGAAGAUACGCGGAGAACCUUACCCACUCUUGACAUCCUUCGCAAUGCUAUAGAGAUAUAGCGGAGGUUAACGGAGUGACAGAUGGUGCAUGGUUGUCGUCAGCUCGUGUCGUGAGAUGUUUGGUCAAGUCCUGCAACGAGCGCAACCCCUAUCUUUAGUUACUAACGAGUCAUGUCGAGGACUCUAGAGAUACUGCCUGGGUAACUGGGAGGAAGGUGGGGAUGACGUCAAAUCAUCAUGCCUCUUACGAGUGGGGCAACACACGUGCUACAAUGGUCGGUACAAAGAGAAGCAAUAUGGCGACAUGGAGCAAAUCUCAAAAAGCCGAUCUCAGUUCGGAUUGGAGUCUGCAAUUCGACUCCAUGAAGUCGGAAUCGCUAGUAAUCGCAGAUCAGCUACGCUGCGGUGAAUACGUUCUCGGGUCUUGUACACACCGCCCGUCACACCAUGGGAGCUGGUAAUACCCAAAGUCGGUUAGCUAACCUC
rnacentral:rRNA from 2 species